GGAAGGAUCAUUCACACCGAAAAUCCAACUCAUUCUGUCGACAUGAGCUUGCUCAUGAGCUGCACUUUGUUUGCAGCACCCUAUAUAGCCUAAAAUACUCUUAUUCAAAAUCGUAACUUUUAGCGAUGGAUGUCUUGGCUCCCACCACGAUGAAGGACGCAGCGAAUUGCGAUAAGCAGUGUGAAUUGCAGAAUUCAGUGAAUCACUAGAUAGCUGAACGCGAAUUGCACUCAAGGGUAUUCCUUUGAGUGUGCUUAUUUCAGUGUCUCCAAAUUCUCUCAUACUCAAGAGUUCCUACACCAUCACUCCACUGGCGAGUUGUUGUUGUUCAACGAAUGUAACUUGUAUUGCUCAAAACUCAGCUUAAUCCUCUUGUUGAGUGGGCACUAAUGUUAUCAGCUUCAAAUUUUACUACGACCUGAAAUUAAGCAAGAUUACCCGCUGAAUUUAAGCAUAUAAUUAAGUGGUGGAAAAGAAACUAACCAGAAUUCCCUUAGUAAUGGCGAAUGAACAGGGACAAGCUCAAAAUGAAAAUCAGUGGCUUCUGCUACUGAAUUGUAGUCUCAAGGAGUGUUACCAGUGGAGGCGCAGGGAUAAGCCUCUUGGAAAAGAGCAUCUAUGAAGGUGAAAAUCCUGUCUUUGCUCUGCAGACUUCCGCGUACGGUACAUUUCCAACGAGUCGCGUUCCUUGGAAGUGGAGCGCUAAAUGGAAGGUAAAUUUCUUCUAAAGCUAAAUAUUUGUGGGAGACCGAUAGCGAACAAGUACCAUGAGGGAAAGAUGAAAAGGACUUUGGAAAGAGAGUUAAAAGUGCCUGAAAUCGCUAAAAGGGAAGCAAAUAGAACUGAUACAAUUCGCGUAAUUGUUCUAGCAUACGCAAUAAACCAACUUUGACCUUACGGCUGAGUUGGUGACGUGCAAUAGCCAAGGACUGCCUACGUGAAUGAGUUCAGCAUCAGUUGCUGUGGAGUGAAACCUAGGCGGGAAGGUAGGUCUCUUGGGACUGUUAUAGCCCGCUGAUGUUAGCUUUGAAGCGACUGAGGAAUGCUGGCCGGGCUACACUUUCGAGAACUCUGGUCAUCAGAUGCUGAUUAUGCGGUUCUAUCUGACCCGUCUUGAAACACGGACCAAGGAGUCUAACAUAUGUGCAAGUAUACGGCCGACAAAGCUGUAUGCGUAAUGAAAGUGAUUGUUAGUAUCUUUGCACUAACGACCGACUUCUUCUCGGAGAGGUUUGAGUAUGAGCAUAUCUGUUAGGACCCGAAAGAUGGUGAACUAUGCCUGAGUAGGGUGAAGCCAGGGGAAACUCUGGUGGAGGCUCGUAGCGGUACUGACGUGCAAAUCGUUCGUCAAACUUGGGUAUAGGGGCGAAAGACUAAUCGAACCAUCUAGUAGCUGGUUCCCUC
rnacentral:misc_RNA from 1 species